rnacentral:rRNA from 1 species
AACGCGAAGAACCUUACCCAGGUUUGACAUGCAUUCGAAAACCGUGGAAACACGGUCCCCGAAAGGUGGAUGCACAGGUGGUGCAUGGCUGUCGUCAGCUCGUGUCGUGAGAUGUUGGGUUAAGUCCCGCAACGAGCGCAACCCUUAUUGCCAGUUGCCACCGGGUUAUGCCGAGCACUCUGGCGAAACCGCACAGGAUAACUGUGAGGAAGGUGGGGAUGACGUCAAGUCCUCAUGGCCUUUAUGUCCAGGGCUACACACGUGCUACAAUGGUCGGUACAAACCGUCGCAAACCCGCGAGGGGGAGCUAAUCGGAAAAAGCCGGCCUCAGUUCGGAUUGGAGUCUGCAACCCGACUCCAUGAAGCUGGAAUCGCUAGUAAUCGCGGAUCAGAACGCCGCGGUGAAUACGUUCCCGGGCCUUGUACACACCGGUACUA